rnacentral:rRNA from 1 species
UGGCGACCGGCGCACGGGUGCGUAACGCGUAUGCAACCUACCUUUAACAGGGGGAUAACACUGAGAAAUUGGUACUAAUACCCCAUAAUAUCAUAGAAGGCAUCUUUUAUGGUUGAAAAUUCCGAUGGUUAGAGAUGGGCAUGCGUUGUAUUAGCUAGUUGGUGAGGUAACGGCUCACCAAGGCAACGAUACAUAGGGGGACUGAGAGGUUAACCCCCCACAUUGGUACUGAGACACGGACCAA